GACGAACGCUGGCGGCGUGCUUAACACAUGCAAGUCGAGCGGUAAGGCCCUUUCGGGGGUACACGAGCGGCGAACGGGUGAGUAACACGUGGGUGACCUGCCCUUAGCUCUGGGAUAAGCCUGGGAAACUGGGUCUAAUACCGGAUAUGACUCCAUGACGCAUGUUGUGGGGUGGAAAGCCUUGUGCGGCUAGGGAUGGGCCCGCGGCCUAUCAGCUUGUUGGUGGGGUGAUGGCCACCAAGGCGACGACGGGUAGCCGGCCUGAGAGGGCGACCGGCCACACUGGGACUGAGACACGGUCCAGACUCCUACGGGAGGCAGCAGUGGGAAUCUUGCGCAAUGGGCGAAAGCCUGACGCAGCGACGCCGCGUGAGGGAUGA
rnacentral:rRNA from 1 species